rnacentral:rRNA from 1 species
UACAGAGGUCUCAAGCGUUGUUCGGCAUCAUUGGGCGUAAAGGGUGCGUAGGUGGUUGGGUAAGUCAAAUGUGAAAUCCCGGAGCUCAACUCCGGAACUGCAUUCGAUACUGCCCGGCUCGAGGAUUGGAGAGGAGACUGGAAUUCACGGUGUAGCAGUGAAAUGCGUAGAGAUCGUGAGGAACACCCGUGGCGAAGGCGGGUCGCUGGACAAUUCCUGACACUGAGGCACGAAGGCCAGGGGAGCAAACGGG